AACGAACGCUGGCGGCAGGCCUAACACAUGCAAGUCGAGCGAGGACUUCGGUCCUAGCGGCGGACGGGUGAGUAACGCGUGGAAACGUGCCCUUUGCUUCGGAAUAGCCCUGGGAAACUGGGAGUAAUACCGGAUGAGCCCUUUGGGGGAAAGAUUUAUCGGCGAAGGAUCGGCCCGCGUUGGAUUAGGUAGUUGGUGGGGUAAUGGCCUACCAAGCCGACGAUCCAUAGCUGGUUUGAGAGGAUGAUCAGCCACACUGGGACUGAGACACGGCCCAGACCCCCACGGGAGGCAGCAGGGGGGAAUUUUAGACAAGGGGGGAACCCCUGAUCUACCCAUGCCGGGGGAGCGAUGAAGGCCUUAGGGUUGUAAAGCUCUUUCAGCUGGGAAAAUAAUGGCGGUACCAGCAGAAGGAGCCCCGGAUAACCCCGU
rnacentral:rRNA from 1 species